rnacentral:misc_RNA from 1 species
AUUUUGCUCCUGAAUUUUGGGUGCCUAAGGUAAAGCAGAGCUGCUAGCAGUGCUAUGAUUUUGAAAGGUGUGACAUACAGUAUAACUGCUGCAAUAAGACAGAAGACUAUGAAGAGGCUGGUUGCCCUGGGAUCUCUCCAACUAAGUAGAGCCUGGAAUCUCUCACCUUGAGUUGCCAUGUCUCCUAUAACUGUUUGAAUUCUACCAGCCACACUGCGAAGUCUAUCAUACCUCAUUUUAACUGUAUUCUCAGGCUUGGAUGUUGGGAAAGUGUCAAACUCUUCAUCUAGUUCAUCUGAG